rnacentral:rRNA from 1 species
UACGUAGGCAGCGAGCGUUGUUCGGAGUUACUGGGCGUAAAGGGUGCGUAGGCGGUUGUUUAAGUUUGGUGUGAAAUCUCCCGGCUUAACUGGGAGGGUGCGGCGGAAACUGGUGUGCUCGAGGGUGGGAGAGGUAAGCGGAAUUCCUGGUGUAGCGGUGAAAUGCGUAGAUAUCAGGAGGAACACCUGCGGUGUAGACAGCUUACUGGACCACUUCUGACGCUGAGACACGAAAGCGUGGGUAGCAAACAGG